rnacentral:tRNA from 1 species
AGUCCAGUAGUGUAUGCACGUCGAAUUGCAAAUUCGAAGAAGCUCCCAAAAGGUGCCCGGACU